rnacentral:rRNA from 1 species
UGUCUUAGCUUGCUAAGGCUGAUGGCGACCGGCGCACGGGUGAGUAACACGUAUCCAACCUGCCGUCUACUCUUGGCCAGCCUUCUGAAAGGAAGAUUAAUCCAGGAUGGCAUCAUGAGUUCACAUGUCCGCAUGAUUAAAGGUAUUUUCCGGUAGACGAUGGGGAUGCGUUCCAUUAGAUAGUAGGCGGGGUAACGGCCCACCUAGUCAACGAUGGAUAGGGGUUCUGAGAGGAAGGUCCCCCACAUUGGAACUGAGACACGGUCCAAACUCCUACGGGAGGCAGCAGUGAGGAAUAUUGGUCAAUGGGCGAUGGCCUGAACCAGCCAAGUAGCGUGAAGGAUGACUGCCCUAUGGGUUGUAAACUUCUUUUAUAAAGGAAUAAAGUCGGGUAUGCAUACCCGUUUGCAUGUACUUUAUGAAUAAGGAUCGGCUAACUCCGUGCCAGCAGCCGCGGUAAUACGGAGGAUCCGAGCGUUAUCCGGAUUUAUUGGGUUUAAAGGGAGCGUAGAUGGAUGUUUAAGUCAGUUGUGAAAGUUUGCGGCUCAACCGUAAAAUUGCAGUUGAUACUGGAUGUCUUGAGUGCAGUUGAGGCAGGCGGAAUUCGUGGUGUAGCGGUGAAAUGCUUAGAUAUCACGAAGAACUCCGAUUGCGAAGGCAGCCUGCUAAGCUGCAACUGACAUUGAGGCUCGAAAGUGUGGGUAUCAAACAGGAUUAGAUACCCUGGUAGUCCACACGGUAAACGAUGAAUACUCGCUGUUUGCGAUAUACGGCAAGCGGCCAAGCGAAAGCGU